rnacentral:misc_RNA from 1 species
UUUGAUUCGCCAGGAGAUCGAUAGUGUCACUUCUAGUUUGAUUGGUGGAUAUCUCCAGUAUAAAUAAAUCAUCUGCAUAUUGGUCUGUGACUCCCUAAACUUCUGCGGAUAUCUCAAAAGUGGACAUCGAUAUAUAUUCAUGGACGUUUUAUUAAAUUAGGAACUAACGAUAUGGCGACCGAAGAAAAAAAGAAACCUGUGAAAGGAAUUUUGAAGUCAUCUUCCAGUUUUGACCAUGAGAAGCACAAGGAGUAUGCACAGUUUUCUUUUUGUUUCCUUUUAACUCUGUAAAGGAAUGUGUAAUUGUUCUAUAUGAUAUCUUUUUAAUAAGGUACUGAGAAGUCAAUGUUAAUGUCUCCUAAAAAUGCACAAAUCCGUACGCUAUAGUAAUUUAAGCCUGGUUAUGCGUUGUUCUUAUAUAGCAAUAAUGUAGAAGGUGGAGUUUGUAUCUAAACUGAUGCCUGGUGCUAUCGUGAAGUUCCAGCACAGGGCUUUGUGUUUGUUUGUUCAAGUCAAUAUCUAUUACCUGACUGUAAUUUUACAUUUAUAUGUAAUUUCAAGAGCAAUUCCCAAUAGUUAAAGGUGGUACUAUGAGACACCUCCAUGUUGAUUAUUUAUCGAAAUAAACAAAUAAAAU